AACGCUGGCGGCGUGCCUAAUACAUGCAAGUCGAACGGUCUUUCUAUGGAAGCUUGCUUCCACUGAGAAGAUAGUGGCGAACGGGUGAGUAACACGUGGGUAACCUGCCCAUAAGAGGGGGAUAACAUCCGGAAACGGGUGCUAAUACCGCAUAGUUUUCUUGAUCGCAUGAUUGAGAAAGGAAAGAUGGCCUUUGUGCUGUCGCUUAUGGAUGGACCCGCGGCGUAUUAGUUAGUUGGUGAGGUAACGGCUCACCAAGACGAUGAUACGUAGCCGACCUGAGAGGGUGAUCGGCCACAUUGGGACUGAGACACGGCCCAAACUCCUACGGGAGGCAGCAGUAGGGAAUCUUCCGCAAUGGACGAAAGUCUGACGGAGCAGCGCCGCGUGAGUGAAAGAAGGUUUUCGGAUCGUAAAACUCUGUUGUCAGAGAAGAACAAGUUGGAGAGUAACUGCUCCAGCCUUGACGGUAUCUGACCAGAAAGCCACGGCUAACUACGUGCCAGCCGCCGC
rnacentral:rRNA from 1 species